ACCCCGGGGAAUACCCUCCACAGCAGAGUGGCAGACGGUCGCAGCCAGGACCGGAGCGGCACGCAGCGAACCGGUACCAGCUUCUCCAGUCCGACUAGUGAACAGAUCAAGAGAUCCACGAUGACCCAGAGGAGGAGGCGACGAGUGCUCAUCAUAGGAGACUCCAUCCUGAGAGGUACGGAAGGACCCAUCUGUCGCCAGGACCCCUCGGCACGAGAGUGACCGGACGAGGAAGACGACAGGAGAACUGCAU